AAGUCACAGCUCAAUUCAGCAGCACUUAGACAAGAGUAUGUUCAAGUAGCAGUGCAGUCCUGAUCCAGCCUCCCAAAGACAGGUUUAAGGACUAAAAGAAAACGUGUAAUACGACUGUGUCACAGCUAUAACGUCCGUAAACGCCCUUCUUUCAAGAUGUAAUUUGAAACUACUUACUUCGUAUUCAUCAAAUAUCUGCCGGUGAUGAAAGUAAGCGUGUGAAAAUAUUCUGUAAAUCCUUCGGCACACGGAUCCUAAUUUGGCUACAGAGGAUUCCUUUAUGCUAACCCUGUAAGCACCAGGAGGAAGGUUACAAAACAGGUCUACUGGAAUGACUACUGAGAUACAUGCUGGUAUGAAUUCUCAUUUUUACAUUAUAUAACUGCACACAAAAUUUAGACUUAAGUGUUGCGGAUACCUAUGUCUGCAUUUGCUUAUUUUUGGAAGGAAAAUAAAAACGUUGGUGCACACUCCA